rnacentral:tRNA from 1 species
GAGAAAGUAUCAAGAACUGCUAACUCCUGAGACCAUAACUAAAAUUUAUGGCUUUCU